rnacentral:rRNA from 1 species
AUUGAACGCUGGCGGCAGGCCUAACACAUGCAAGUCGAGCGAGCGGCGGACGGGUGAGUAAUGUAUGGGGACUGCCCGAUAGAGGCGGAUAACUACUGGAAACGGUAGCUAAUAACGCAUCCUAUCGGAUAACGCAUAUGUGAUUAGCUAGUAGGUGAGGUAAUGGCUCACCUAGGCGACGAUCCCUAGCUGGUCUGAGAGGAUGAUAAGCCACACUGGGACUGAGACACGGCCCAGACUCCUACGGAGGCAGCAGUGGGGAAUAUUGCACAAUGGGCGCAAGCCUGAUGCAGCCAUGCCGCGUGUAUGAAGAAGGCCCUAGGGUUGUAAAGUACUGUCAGUCGGGAGGCGUUACCGACAGAAGAAGCACCGGCUAACUCCGUGCCAGCAGCCGCGGUAAUAC